rnacentral:tRNA from 1 species
UAAAUAGGAAGCUAUGAUAGCACUUAAUUUCGACUUAAGCUUUGAGAGUAAAUUCUCUCCUUAUUUAU